AGAGGUUUAGGUUAGACUAGACCAAGAGCCUUCAAAGCUCUAAGCAAGUGUUAUACACUUAACCCCUG
rnacentral:tRNA from 1 species